rnacentral:lncRNA from 1 species
CCUCUCUGCCUUGCCGAACUCCCACCAGAGGCCUGACCUCAGAAGACACUCAGAGGCCUGGGGCCACGGCUGUGCCUGCGGCCAUGGGCCCCCUUUGCGUGGGCACUCGAAGGAACUCCACCGAGGUGAUCACGAGAUAAAUGGCACCAUUUCCGCCUCCAAGAUCUAACAAUCUAAUGAGAAGAUGUUCACUGGAAAAGCUAACUGUAACAUAGGGGAUGAGGACCAUUCUAAAGGUUGGGGACUGAGUACCAGCUUCCUUGAGUGACAACCGUGAAGUUUAGGAAGGAUGAAACUUAUCUUCAGAUCCAGAGGAGGGCCCUGCUUGCCACUCAGAAUAAUCCCAUUUUCUUGUCAUAGUGAUUGACACGGUAUAAGCCAAUCAGAGCAUAGCAUGCCCCUAGCUACAGAGAUUGUAUCCGGGUGGUCCAAUCAGAGUGAAGCUUGGGACUUUCGUAUGAUGGUCCUAAAAGCUGGCCUUGGCCUUUGCUCUGCCCUUGGAUGUGAAUGCAGAGCGACCAUGAAUGCUGCUGGCAGUCAUUUUAUGAGGCCAGCCCAAGAACAAAGCCAACAUCUGAAGGCAGACAGAAUUGAGAGAACUGCAGAAAAAUUGAGCCAGAGCCUGGACCAAACCAUGCCUGGACCAAGCCAUGAAAAUGCUCAGUUACUGGAG